AUUAGAUGUGAAUAUCUAAUUAGGGUGUUUCCCAGAAUCAUUCAACAAAUAGUACCUACUGUAUACCAGGCAUUGUCCUUUUAAGAACAGUGGAUUGUGGUGAUGGGAGGUAAGAAAAAGGAGCUGGUCUUCAGUUGGGUGGUUUCUCAGUUAUUUUUUUAGUGCUUCUACCUGAUUCAUAUAUGGCCUGGAUGGGUAUAACUUUGCUACUGAUACAACUUGUAAUUUAUUGAAUGUUCUGUGUGAAACCCCUUUAUAGGUGUUUCAUUGUUCUUUAAUGCAGUGAUUGUUCUGUUAAUUGCAAUCUUAUUCUACCAUCAAGACAAAUAAUUGCUGAGCCAUGGAAGCUGUUUUUGGUGACAGGUUAAAUGAUAAAGACAAGGGUUGGAAAUAGUUUUUUCCUCCGGGUAAGAAGUGGUCAAUAACAAAGAUGAUGACCAACAUCUAGGCUACAGUUGGGUUGGUUUCCCACCACUUGGAGGUUGUGUCUAUUUUGGUCCCUUUUUCUUACAAGAACCAUCACAAAUCUAAUCUUGUAUUGAUAUAGCCCUUUGGUCUGAUGGGUGGGACGAGCAGGUUUUAAAAGAUGGAGCCUAUAAUUUCAUCGAUUCAACAAGUAUUUUGAGUGCUACUCUGCAAGCUGUUUUAGGUACUGGGGAUAUCUACAGUCUUGAAGCUUAUAUUCUAAUGGGGGAGACAAAAGGUAAAAAGUAGAGAAUAUUUUUUAGGUGGGGAAGUCAGUGAAACCUUCGUGAGGUGGCGGUGGGGGACUAAAUAAGGGAGUAAUAUAUAAUUGUGUUACGGAACAUUCUGUCUGGUUGAAACUUCAAGGGAGUCAUUCUUGCUUUCUGCUUUGAGAGCAUGGUCUCACUGUAACAGACAGCGUAGGCAGUUUUUCAUGACUGCCAGAAUCUGGGCUGGUUUAAUGCUAUAUUUCUACUAUAGCUUAAAAAAACUUGUUAAGGGGAAAAACCCUAUUAAGAACAGUGAGGAAAUAAUUCUAAAACUGGAUUUGAAAUGAUUGAAUUUAACUUGCUGAUAUUUCAACAUUGUUUUUGAAAUUAUUUUUGUUUAAGCUUCCAAUCAAAUAUAUCUUGAUGAGUUCAGGCCAUGUGGUCUGCUCUUUGUAACUGACAAAGUGUUAUUGUCUCCUGGCAUCAUUUAGCUCAGGAGCAACACAGUUUUUCAGAGCAUUGCUUUGUUUUAAUACACUGAUUUUCCCAUAGCCUUGCAUCAUUCAUUUUCUUGAAUUAAAUGUGAUUCACAUUCACCUUAGAGCUAGCUUUGCACUUAACGAAGCACUCACUAAGCUGCCUACCAUGUGGAGAGUGCAGAGAUGAACACGGCGUGGUGCCUGUCCUUGCCUUGCCUCCACAGCAACUUCCUGUUUAGGCCUUGGGUAGUCAGAUGGGUGUAUCACCGGAAUUCAGAUGGGAGUGGGAAUCAUCACACUCCUGUAGUGAUGGCCUCCAGCCCAGCCUGAUUCUGGAUGGGUAAAAGGUCUUAGGAGGGCAGUUUUCAGGAUGAUUUGGGGGUUUGGGCUUGCUGUUAGACCUCUUAAUGUUGACUUAAUCGUCUAGGCAUCCUCAAAAUUGAGUUGACUUGGGUGAAGGCUAAGUUAAACCAGGCUUCUUAACCUCUGGUUUAAUGCAUCAGAAUUAAACUCGACUCUAGGGGGAUAGAGUAGUGAGGUAGACUGCCUUCAUUGUGGUAUUAAGUGCUGUUGCAAACUCCUGGAGGAAAGUUUGCUAGGUACUAGAGUUCUCUGCGUGGUCUCAUGCUGCAGAAAAUGGAAUUCCCAGAAUGAUGGCAAUGGGAAUUCCUUUGCCAGAACUCCUUUUCUGCUGAGGGCUUGGAGAACAUUAGUGGAAGCAGGAGACAGUAGAGUUUCAAAAGGGGAAGUCUCCAAGACAGAAUUAAGAAAUCCCUGUAUGUGAAGACUUUGAGGAAAUUUUGGUUCAUUAGAAAUGAUGUGUUAUUUUCUAUGAUAAGUACAUAGAAAAUAAAUGAAAAUGGGUAAAAACUCAGGAGUAAACAAAAACAGUUGUGGGGUUCAAUUUUGUCAUAAUCAUGGCCACAGUGUAAUAUAAUAGUCAUUUAACUACAUUUGGAGAGUGGGGAAGUGCAGAUGGGUCAGUAGAGAAUUUUAAAAGGUGCUAAAUGAGAAUUAUGAGCAUCUUAGACACAGGUAAAGAACAGCUGAAACGCUAAAAACCAUUGCUUCUGGGGAGGAUGGGGCAAGAGAUUUGAAAGCUUUGUAUUGUUUGCAUGAAUUAUUUUGAUAAAAAUAAAAAGUUGUCAUGCUAACAGUUCUUUUUUCCUGUUUUAAGCCUUACCUGGUGGCUUAACACUUUCCAACAUCUCACCAAAAUGUGAAUCUUCUACCAAGAGUAGGGACUUUUGUAUUAUUUUAUUGGCAGGUAAAUAGCACCCCUGAGAUGACAAAAGGCAAAGAGAUGAUAAAACUAAAGGAGGAGGAAGUGCUUAGCUAAUGAUACCUAAACCUAAAAUGCCGAAUUUUUUUUAUGACCGCUCUUGAUUUGCCGCACUUGUCCAGGCCAACAGGGAAACUGCUCUUUGUCCCGUGGGACUAGCUCUUGAAGGGCUGGGUCUGGUGGUUACCUUAAUAUCUACAUCAAACAUGCUGUUUGCAACAAGAUGCUACCUCU